CUGCUCCGAGACUCCAACGCGAGCUACCUGAGACCCGGUGAAUUUUUUACCGGAUAUGGAUGUGCUUUAAGGAAUUCCAGUGUUAAUUGUACUUUUCGGGGACUUUGAGUGAUUCACCACCCUUUGAACAAAUGUAUUUUGAGAUCCUCAAAGGAAUCCUAGAUUUGUCAAGAAGCCAUGUUUUAAUUGCUGCCCAUCAAAUAGUACUGUGUCUUGCAUGUGUAAAUUAGAUUCAUUUUGAGGAAAU